rnacentral:rRNA from 1 species
UACGAAGGGGGCUAGCGUUGUUCGGAUUUACUGGGCGUAAAGCGCGCGUAGGCGGAUCGUUAAGUCGGGGGUGAAAUCCUGGAGCUCAACUCCAGAACUGCCUUCGAUACUGGCGAUCUCGAGUCCGGAAGAGGUGAGUGGAACUCCUAGUGUAGAGGUGGAAUUCGUAGAUAUUAGGAAGAACACCAGUGGCGAAGGCGGCUCACUGGUCCGGUACUGACGCUAAUGUGCGAAAGCGUGGGGAGCAAACAGG